UAGGGUUCUGUUCGCGACUGUGCCUUGAGAUCUAUUAUAUCUUUACUAUUAGUUGUUUCCCGUACCAGCAAUUUGUGUUGAACAAGACAUCGUUAGUUUGUUAUCCUUGUUCCUGUGUGGUAAACCAACAUCUUAUGAGAAUUUUGCGAUAUGUUAUGCCAGUUUAUAUCAGACGAGUUAUCCAUAUCUGUGCUCCUAUUUAUGCUUCGUUUGAUCUGUGUUAAUUGUUAUCGAUCCCUAAUGCAUGUACUUUUAUUUGCCAUGGUAACUAUAUGAUUCUAUGCCUGCUAGUCAUGGUAACUAUAUGAUUCUAUGCCUGGUAGUCAUGGUAACUGUAUGUGUCUAUGCCUGCUAAUCAUGAUAACUGUAUGAUUCUAUGCCUGCUAAUUAUGUGACAUGUGAACUGUAUGAUUUUUGUUUGCACUCUGGUAUGCUUUGUUUUCUUUGUUAAUCUUUACUUGUCAUAGUGUAUUGCUUCAGGAUUCUAUUUCUUGUAGUCAUAGUGAUUUGCUUGCUUAAUGCUCGAUGACAUUGAAGUUGAUGUCUGGAAGAGGUUUGUAGCCAUACUAAUGGUUAACAUGAGGUAGUAGUUUUAUCUUUGGAAUCCCUAGCAGGUACUAAAGUUUUGGAUUGCAUCUUCCUUCUAAAUUUACUUGACUAGUUUAGUGUCACCUCUUGAGUUAAAUAAGAACCUGGAGUAAGCUAUUGUGCUGUUAUUGUUGUGCCAUUGUGUGAAGUAUUGGUAUCCAUUUGCAUCUUCGCAGAAAUGGCGACAUGUUCUUUGAGAAAUCUUCCUCUGAAGCAUUCUGUCUGUUUUGUAUUUGCUAGAACAAGGAUGUUAUUCUUUUUGGGUGUUCGAUUUGUUUUGCUUGCUGUGGCACCUUUUUUUUUGCUUGCUGUGGCACCUGACGCAUAGCAGUUGUUUUAUCAGUCAAGCUUUGUUUUAUAGUCAAGCAUUUGUUACUGUAUUUCCCAGAGUACAUUAGUACAUUAGUACAUUUGUUACGUGUGUGUGAUCAUGUUUGCUUGUCUGUACAUAGCUGCAAUUGCCUGAUCGAUAGAGCGCCUUAGGGUUCAAAGGAUUUUAUAGCAAUUUUUGCUAUGUACUACCUCUGUACCGAAAUACUGUAGUUGAGGAUUUGCUCAUUUGCCGCUCCCGUAAUUUGUUUGCCCACGCACGUCGCCUGAAUCUGUUGUGCACAACUGACUCCCGUGCCCUCUAGGUAUUCCACCACUGCCAGCCGGGGUUGCCAUCGGAGGCACUCAAACAUCCAACAGUAUCAGUUGAUUGACAAACUGACUCGAUGGGUCAUUUCUCCCGCCGGUUGCCAUCGGUUCGAAAGGAACAUUGGCGCCGUGACACGAGACGGUGAGUAGAACAAACGCAUCAGCUGUUGGUCCGUGCCGCCAAUGCCUGCUUUGCCGGCUGGGCAAGCGAUCCCUCGUCCACACGCACAAGGAACCCUCUGUUUGACAUGCGUGCGGCCCGUCGUAUGCGGCCCUCCGUGACAUGGAUGAAGUGGCACGUUUAAGCACGAGGCACCCUCACGUUGAUGCAUAUCACUUCCGUGGUACGUGGACAGAAGGAACAUAUCUCACGGUUGUUGGGUGGAGGAAUUCACAAUUUAUCUGUACAACGAUGAUAUCUUAGAAGACCUAUGUAGUAUAAAUUGCUGAGCUUAACGAAAGAUAAUAAACUAUAAGAAAAAAGUUGUAUUUUUCUUAAUUAGGAUAUGAUCUCUUAGCAAUAAUAUUUGUCACCACUGACCACAUAUUUAGAAAUAUUUAGUUUAUCAAAGAAAAGACUGAUGCCAUGCAACUUUCUAUUUUUUUUCCUUGAUUACAUGAUGGGUUUAAGAUAAGACUAUCUUACUUGCCUUCAUAAAAAACGUUGAAAAUAACAUUUAAAUACUCCGAUGAACAGACACACCUUCAUGCGCCCUCCACGAGCCGAUGGAACAUGGAUAGGAUGAGCAUGCCAUUAUUUCUAAACCCGGCAACAUCGUCGCCUCGCGGCCUCGACUAACACACAGAGAAUUCUAAAACCAGGCUAAAUUAAAACCAAGACGCCUAUGCUGCUGUACGCCAAAUAUGAGCCAGAGGUCGAGCCAAACCACCAUCUAGGACCCUAUAUGCCGUCGGUGCAGGUAGCAUCGCCUGUAAGCGUCCCUGGUUGAGAAUUGCCGCUGCUCGAACACACAUCAACGACUGCCGCUAGCCCCGGCAUGAACUCAAUGUGGACACUUGACAGAUCAUCCCGGCAUCGUAGACGCCACAUGGGUUUUGCUCGAUGACAGACUUUGGCAGCAACGGGAGCGUAACGCUGGUGGCAGCUAGGGCUUCAGAGUUUGUCGCGAGAUAUAAGGACGAGUGAAUCAGGUUAGGUAAUUACGUUAGGCAGAACCCCGAAGUAAGAGGAAAUGAAUAUGACUUUGAACUACAAAUUUCACAUACUUAUGAACAUUAGCUGUCUAAUAUAGUACCAUGUCUAAUGACGGUGUACCUCAUUCCGAUGGGCAGGGAUGUAGGUUUGUGUAAAAACCGUAAAAAAAAAAAUAUAUAUAAUAAAUAAAUUAGAUAACGACAAUUUCAACGGCGUUGCCAAAACAUUAAUUAAAAUAAUAGAGACAACUACAUUUAUUAUUACAACAAAUAGCAUUUAGUCGUGCAAAACAAAUUCUUCUCCAAACCUCCAUAUAUUUUAUAGACCCUUGUCUCAUUUCUUUCCCAUAAAGUAAAUGCCAACUAAGGGCCAGCCAAACAAAUUACAACCGUCCAUAGUACAACCCAUAAGAGACACAAGUGGAGGUAUGCAUGCAAGACUAACCACGCAUGCAUGCCAGAUGUAAUGUGUCUUCAAACCGACAUAGCUAUUCACCCCACUAUAAAUAGGAGCCAUCCCUUUCACUGGACCAUUCUACCUCACACACACAUACGUUGGAGUACCCCCACCACUUGCCUUUUCACCUUCUACCACACUGCUGUCCUUCACUGCGGUGAAGAUCUUUGGGUUGCAUGCGCCACCAGGUACUAAUCAAGUAUCUUGUUGUGUUAGCCCUUCUUGCUUGAUUUCUUAUCUAUCUCCACCUCGGUUUGAAUCAGU
rnacentral:lncRNA from 1 species